rnacentral:rRNA from 1 species
UGGGGAAUAUUGCACAAUGGGCGCAAGCCUGAUGCGGCCAUGCCGCGUGUAUGAAGAAGGCCUUCGGGUUGUAAAGUACUUUCAGUCGGGAGGAAGGUGGUAAGGUUAAUAACCUUGGCAAUUGACGUUACCGACAGAAGAAGCACCGGCUAACUCCGUGCCAGCAGCCGCGGUAAUACGGAGGGUGCAAGCGUUAAUCGGAAUUACUGGGCGUAAAGCGCACGCAGGCGGUUGAUUGAGUCAGAUGUGAAAUCCCCGGGCUUAACCCGGGAAUUGCAUCUGAUACUGGUCAGCUAGAGUCUUGUAGAGGGGGGUAGAAUUCCAUGUGUAGCGGUGAAAUGCGUAGAGAUGUGGAGGAAUACCGGUGGCGAAGGCGGCCCCCUGGACAAAGACUGACGCUCAGGUGCGAAAGCGUGGGGAGCAAACAGG